rnacentral:rRNA from 1 species
UACAGAGGUCUCAACCGUUGUUCGGAUUCAUUGGGCGUAAAGGGUGCGUAGGCGGCGGGGUAAGUUAGGUGUUUAAUCCCGGGGCCCAACCCCGGUCGUGCACUUAAAACUGGGAGUCUUGAAUAGUGGAGAGGUCAGUGGAAUUGGGGGUGUAGCGGUGGAAUGCGUAGAGAUCCCCAAGAACACCAGUUGCGAAGGCGGCUGACUGGACACAUAUUGACGCUGAGGCUCGAAAGCAUGGGGAGCAAACAGG